rnacentral:rRNA from 1 species
AUGUGCACGGACAAGGAAGAACUGAAGAAGGCAUUAACGAAGAUCAAGGAGCUCCAAGAAGAACUCAAGGCUACACGCGAAGAUUAUUUGGAGGAAAUCAACGCACUAGUAGGGAAGAAUGACGACCUGGAGAAGAAGAUUGGAGUAUUCGUGGGAAAUCCAGUGCCAAAAGCAGAAGUCGACGAAUGCACUUGUCCGGAUAACUACAUCAUCAUCGACGACACCGACUCAGAACCAAGUGAAGACGACUGGGUUGAUAAAGCUGGAGCAGACAUCAUGGAGUCUACAAUGGAUCAGAAUUUCUAG